UACGAAGGGGCUAGCGUUGCUCGGAAUCACUGGGCGUAAAGGGCGCGUAGGCGGCCACCGCAAGUCGACUGUGAAAUCUCCGGGCUUAACCCGGAAAGGUCAGCCGAUACUGCGGGGCUAGAGUGCAGAAGGGGCAACUGGAAUUCUCGGUGUAGCGGAUGAAUGCGUAGAUAAUCGAGAGGAACACCUGCGGCGAAGGCGGGUUGCUGGGCUGACACUGACGCUGAGGCGCGAAAGCUAGGGGAGCGAACGGG
rnacentral:rRNA from 1 species